rnacentral:lncRNA from 1 species
GGGUCCAUAUGGGGACGUCCACCCAUUGGGAUCCAUCCGUUCCCAUUUCCGUCUGUCUGGGGACGCUGAUCCAUUGGGAUCCAUGGGUUCCUCCCUUCGUGUCCCUUUGGGGACAUCCACCCACUGGGACGCGUCUGUCCCAGCCCCAGUCCCACUGGGGGACGCUGAUGGUGGGGAUCCAUCCAUUCCCACUGCCAGUCCCACUCCGAUCCCAUUGGGAUCCACCCCNUUCGUGCCCCCCGGGUUCCCCCCGCCUCCCCCCGCUGCCGCUGCUGCAGCCGCCAACCCCGGCGCCUCGGCCCCGUCCCUGGCUGAGUGAGCGCGGCACGGGGACAGACGGACGUUGGGAUCCGUGCGUUCCCAUUUCCGGGUCUGUUUGGGGACGGUGAUCCAUUGGGAUCCAUCCGUUCCCAUUUCUGGGUCCAUACGGGGACGUCCACCCAUUGGGAUCCAUCUGUUCCCAGUUUUGUGUUCAUAUGGGGACAUCCACCCAUUGGGAUCCAUCCGUUCCCGUUUCUGGGUCUGUUUGUGGACGCUGAUCCAUUGGGAUCCAUCCGUUUUCGGGUCUGUCUGGGGACGUCCACCCAUUGGGAUCCAUCCGUUCCCAUUUCCAUGUCCGUAUGGGGACACUGAUCCACUGGGAUCCAUCCAUUCCCAGUUUCGUGUCCAUAUGGGGACACUGAUCCACUGGGAUCCAUCCAUUCCCAGUUUUGUGUCCGUAUGGGGACGUCCACCCACUGGGAUCCAUCCGUUCCCAUUUCCGGGUCUGUUUAUGGACACUGAUCCACUGGGAUCCAUCCGUUCCCAUUUUCAGGUCCAUAUGGGGACAUUGAUUCAAUGGGAUCCAUCUGUUCCUAUUUCUGGGUCCAUAUG